rnacentral:lncRNA from 1 species
GGUAGGGGAAGAAGGAGGGGAUAACUUUAAUUAAUACCUACUAUUAUAACCCAAGAAGAAGCAUAUGAGCAACCUCACAGUCAGUGAUGGACCAGAUUAUCAAACAGCGGACUAUGUGAAAACCAAAUGUGUCUCUCUACCCUGCAUGAACAGAUUUUAGCAGUGUUUCUGGAGCUGAAUAAUUGCUAUAGUUGUUUCAGAGAGAGUCACUGCCUAUGCACUUCUGAAUGUUACAAGUGGAAGAGACUCUUGCAUUUCCAUUCUGUAGCAGUUGUUUCCCGAAAGAAAGAUUGGCUGGUUGUCUUUUUGGCUCCCACCUACCUUGGUGUUUUGCCAGGCUGUGGUCUAGCUUGGUCAUCUACAUCUGCUAUACAUAUACCAGGCAGGGAACAUCAAACUGUGCCAGCCUAUCUUCUGCAGUCACAGCAGGUUCUAAACGACAUGUGACUGUGAUGUCUCAGGCUGUCUUACUUCUUCCUCUCUGGGAUGGUUGGCUAGGGCUAUAAAAUUUACCUCGGUGCUCGCUUUGUUUAAAUAUAGAUUAUCUAUGUUCUGAUUCAAAAUUAAAGUCUGGUUUAAUGUUAU